GAUGAACGCUAGCGACAGGCCUAACACAUGCAAGUCGAGGGGCAUCGGGGUGUAGCAAUACGCUGCCGGCGACCGGCGGAUGGGUGAGUAACGCGUAUGCAACCUGCCUUCAGCAGGGGGAUAGCCCGUUGAAAGACGGAUUAAUACCCCAUAACACAGGGGCUCCGCAUGGAGAUUAUUGUUAAAGGGAUACUUCCUUCGGGGGGUAUUCCGGCUGAAGAUGGGCAUGCGUUCCAUUAGGUAGUUGGUUGAGGUAACGGCUCACCAAGCCUGCGAUGGAUAGGGGAACUGAGAGGUUGGUCCCCCACACUGGUACUGAGACACGGACCAGACUCCUACGGGAGGCAGCAGUGAGGAAUCUUGGUCAAUGGACGGAAGUCUGAACCAGCCAUGUCGCGUGAAGGAGGACGGCCCUAAGGGUUGUAAAACUUCUUUUGCAGGGGAAUAAAGUAUUCCACGAGAUGGGAUAUUGCAAGUACGCUGCGAAUAAGGAUCGGCUAACUCCGUG
rnacentral:rRNA from 1 species